rnacentral:rRNA from 1 species
UGUACCAGUUGUCGUGCCAACGGCAUAGCUGGGUAGCUAUGUGUGGACGGGAUAAGUGCUGAAAGCAUCUAAGCAUGAAGCCCCCCUCAAGAUGAGAUUUCCCAACUUCGGUUAUAAGAUCCCUCAAAGAUGAUGAGGUUAAUAGGUUCGAGGUGGAAGCAUGGUGACAUGUGGAGCUGACGAAUACUAAUCGAUCGAAGACUUAAUCAA